rnacentral:rRNA from 1 species
GAUGAACGCUGGCGGCGUGCCUAAUACAUGCAAGUCGAGCGAACAGACGAGGAGCUUGCUCCUCUGACGUUAGCGGCGGACGGGCGAGUAACACGUGGAUAACCUACCUAUAAGACUGGGAUAACUUCGGGAAACCGGAGCUAAUACCGGAUAAUAUAUUGAACCGCAUGGUUCAAUAGUGAAAGACGGUUUUGCUGUCACUUAUAGAUGGAUCCGCGCCGCAUUAGCUAGUUGGUAAGGUAACGGCUUACCAAGGCAACGAUGCGUAGCCGACCUGAGAGGGUGAUCGGCCACACUGGAACUGAGACACGGUCCAGACUCCUACGGGAGGCAGCAGUAGGGAAUCUUCCGCAAUGGGCGAAAGCUUGACGGAGCAACGCCGCGUGAGUGAUGAAGGUCUUCGGAUCGUAAAACUCUGUUAUUAGGGAAGAACAAAUGUGUAAGUAACUAUGCACGUCUUGACGGUACCGAAUCAGAAAGCCACGGCUAACUACGUG